rnacentral:rRNA from 1 species
UACGGGGGGGGCAAGCGUUGUUCGGAAUUACUGGGCGUAAAGGGCUCGUAGGCGGCCAACUAAGUCGGACGUGAAAUCCCUCGGCUUAACCGGGGAACUGCGUCCGAUACUGGAUGGCUUGAGUUCGGGAGAGGGAUGCGGAAUUCCAGGUGUAGCGGUGAAAUGCGUAGAUAUCUGGAGGAACACCGGUGGCGAAGGCGGCAUCCUGGACCGACACUGACGCUGAGGAGCGAAAAGCCAGGGGAGCAAACGGGG